UACUAUAGCUUGACACUGAACAUUGAGCCUUGAUGUGUAGGAUAGGUGGGAGGCUUUGAAGUGUGGACGCCAGUCUGCAUGGAGCCGACCUUGAAAUACCACCCUUUAAUGUUUGAUGUUCUAACGUAGACCCGUAAUCCGGGUUGCGGACAGUGUCUGGUGGGUAGUUUGACUGGGGCGGUCUCCUCCUAAAGAGUAACGGAGGAGCACGAAGGUUGGCUAAUCCUGGUCGGACAUCAGGAGGUUAGUGCAAUG
rnacentral:rRNA from 1 species